rnacentral:ncRNA from 1 species
AGGCGUUUUAAAGCAAAGUGUAGAAUCUGGAAGGGCUGUGCUUUGCAAAGUCUUACGACGGUUCUCCGUUUACCAAAAGCCAGAUGUAGGCUGAAUUUUUCAGCUGAAGGAAAAUGGAAUGU